rnacentral:lncRNA from 1 species
AGCUUUUCUUGUACACAUCCUGCCUCAUGACCCUGUCUGAACUGUUGCGUUGCUGCGCUUGUAAUGUGUGUGCACUAAGGCAGUAUAUUUACACAGAGGGAAACAAUGGUAACAUAAACGAAUCAUUAGAACCAUGCAAUAUUACCAUUUGCAUUCAAGCGUUAAGCGAAAUUACGGUUUGUUUCCGGUUUUGAGAACAUGGGUUUGCCCAAUGAAAACUGUACGUUUGACAGGUCAAACUUCGCUGAGCGGGACUUAUUGAUACAGACUACAUUUGAAUAUUCGAUUUUAUUUAUUAGUGAUUUAAUAGUGUUUAAUAUACUCAAAACUAACAAAUGGAUAAUUUUAAAACGAAUAAGUUUGGAAAACCUUUAUCAGAAGACUUUCGAGUAUUAAUCUUGGACACAAUUAUUGAGAAGGGAGGAGACAGUUUAACAGGUUAUAUUCCAGUUACUUAUAUCGAGAUUUCAAAACGUUUCUGCGUUUCGCAGCAAACAGUUGCAAAGAUAUGGAGGGAAUUUUGCCAAAGAAACAGUUUUGCUGUACAAUCCCGUGGAGGACUACGUAUUAAUAAUCGCAAAUUAACUGACAAUGACUUGGAACUGAUCGAAACGUUGAAAGCAAAUAAGGGAUAUAUCUCAAUGCGAUAUACACCCUGUAUAAUAAUACGAAUGGAUACAUGUUAAUAUGAUGUCAAUGAAAUGUCAAACUAUUAAAGUCUAUGUUUAGCAAAUAACUAGUUUAUAAAUCCUGUGUUGUUUAGUAAAUAACUAGUUUAUAAAUCCUGUGUAAGCAAUACUGUACCUUCCAGAGGUUUAUUUUUAAUAUACAGUAAGUCCCGCCCAGCGAAGUGUUGUUUUGAAAAUUGAAAUGUCAAACGUACAACUUUGACCUGUCAAACGUACAAUUUUCAUUGAGCAAACCCAUGUUCUCAAAACUGGAAACAAACCGUAAUUUCGCUUAAGGCUUCAAUGCAAAUGGUAAUAACCAUACACUCAAAUGUUCUCUCUUUUCAGAUCCAUUUUCAAAUCCAGAAGCUGAUGAAUUUCGAAAGUACAGUUUUUGCAAAGAAAAUCAUCGUUAUAAACUUUCGUUCAGCCUAUCAAAGUCUAUUGAACAGAAAAUAGAUCGAAUGUGUAAAUAUACUGAACAUUUAGACCGCCAGGAUUUAUGCCGGAUUUCAUUGUACCCAGAACAACAAAACAAACAAUGGAUGGCCUGGAUACAAGUAUCUACAGCCUGUUCGCAGGCAAACAAAAAAGAACAAUACCUGAAAGUAGACUUUCUGUGACCUUUGUAUACCAUUAACUGAAUAUCCAUUACGGGGCCAUAUUUAUCCAUCAUAGUCUCUUUGUAUCCAUUUAGUAUAGUCACAAUUCAUCAGCAUGUUCAGUAAUGAUCUGUAAAACAAAGCAAAAAAUCAAUAAUUAAUUCAGAUAUAAAACUUAAACCAUUUUGCUACAAAAAAAACAACAAAUUAAACCAUUAGGUUGUAUACUGUGCCCUGGUGCAUGCUCUACUUGAGUAUUUUACUGUCCAACACCAGAGUGACCAGACGAUUUUACGCUUCAUAAUGAGACUGCCCAAUGCCCAUGUGUCUAGUUACCCAUUAACUGUCAGUGCGCCCCCUGCUUAAUAAAAUUGUCUGACGUUAGACAGAGUUAAAAUAAUAUAAGUAGGUAAAUUAGGGUGCAAAUCAAAUUUAAUGGUUAAAUGUGCUGUUUACAUGAUCCCAGUUUGUCAGGACAGGAUGAAAGGUGGGACAAUUUUCAUGCACUGAAAUAAGUCACUGGGGUUUGAAAAAAAGUUCAAAGAUGGUUAAAAGAACUCAAACUCUGUUGUCCAUACAAUCUCAUAAUAUGACUAGAAGUUCUGUCAAACAAUUACAAAUCUAUAACUAGAAAAAUAAUGCAAACCUUGUGAAAAUUGUGAAAAACUGUUCUUUUAAUUAAAACAAUUACUUUCAAAUGAUAAAAACAUGAAUUGGAAUAUGUUGAUCAAAUCAAAAGGAGGGGGAACACAGGAUAUUUUUGAAAAAUUCUUAAAUUGCACAAGCCUACUCCAAACUUUCUGAACCAUAAAAGCAAACGUUUUCAACAUAGUCCUUUGGUUUACUCUAUAUACUUGUAUAAUUCUAACUUGGUCG